rnacentral:rRNA from 1 species
UACGUAGGGCGCAAGCGUUGUCCGGAAUCAUUGGGCGUAAAGAGCUCGUAGGCGGCCUGUUGCGUCCGCUGUGAAAUCCCGGGGCUUAACCCCGGGCGUGCAGUGGAUACGGGCUGGCUGGAGGCAGGCAGGGGAGAACGGAAUUCCCGGUGUAGCGGUGAAAUGCGCAGAUAUCGGGAGGAACACCGGUGGCGAAGGCGGCACUCUGGGACGGUACUGACGCUGAGACGCGAAAGCGUGGGGAGCGAACAGG